UACGGAGGGUGCUAGCGUUGUUCGGAAUCACUGGGCGUAAAGCGCGUGUAGGCGGCCUGUUAAGUCUGAUGUGAAAGCCCGGGGCUCACCCCCGGAAGUGCAUUGGAAACUGCCAGGCUCGAGUCCCGGAGAGGAGGGUGGAAUUCCUGGUGUAGCGGUGAAAUGCGUAGAUAUCAGGAGGAACACCCGUGGCGAAGGCGGCUUUCUGGGACGGUACUGACGCUGAGACGCGAAAGCGUGGGGAGCGAACAGG
rnacentral:rRNA from 1 species